GACGAACGCUGGCGGCGUGCUUAACACAUGCAAGUCGAACGAAGAGCGAUGGAAGCUUGCUUCUAUCACUCUUAGUGGCGAACGGGUGAGUAACGCGUAAUCAACCUGCCCUUCAGAGGGGGACAACAGUUGGAAACGACUGCUAAUACCGCAUACGAUCUAAUCUCGGCAUCGAGGAUAGAUGAAAGGUGGCCUCUACAUGUAAGCUAUCACCGAAGGAGGGGAUUGCGUCUGAUUAGCUAGUUGGAGGGGUAACGGCCCACCAAGGCGAUGAUCAGUAGCCGGUCUGAGAGGAUGAACGGCCACAUUGGGACUGAGACACGGCCCAGACUCCUACGGGAGGCAGCAGUGGGGAAUCUUCCGCAAUGGACGAAAGUCUGACGGAGCAACGCCGCGUGAGUGAUGACGGCCUUCGGGUUGUAAAGCUCUGUUAAUCGGGACGAAAGGCCUUCUUGCGAAUAGUGAGAAGGAUUGACGGUACCGGAAUAGAAAGCCACGGCUAACUACGUG
rnacentral:rRNA from 1 species